CAACUUUUUAAAAAAAGUUGCGUUUUGGGCUCAGGCAAAAUGCAAGUCCGAAACGCACUGAAUUUAUGGACAUCUGAGGUCCAUAAAUCAAAACGCGCUGUUGGCGUUUUGGACAUUAUUACCGUUGGACGUUGCAUUUACGAAAAUACCCCUAAUAUCUCACGCAAACUCACACAAACUCAUCAGUUCUCUCACACUCACCCAUCUCAUCUCUCUGCUCUUCACUCCGCACGCCCUCACCCCCACGCCUCCCAGCCUCGCUUGUAUUUCUGCGCUCUGCUCCAUGGUAGAGAUUUGCUACCAAAACACCAAGCAACACUGAUCUGCUACCAAAAACCACCAGUGGCAUGUUAAUGAACAGCAGGUGCAAAAACUUGUGAACAUGGGCUUUGUCGAGCUGGAUGUGAGAAGUGCUUUGCAAGUUGUUUUUUUGUUUUUGGUACUAGGUUUGUAGGCAUGCCUAAUCUAGAUAAGU